UAGCCCAUGGCUGGAGAUGGCCUUAGCUACUCAAAUGGGGAUAUCACAUGCGGUUUUCGAAUCUGACUCAAAGGAGCUGGUCCAAUCUGUCAAAGGCCAUAUUCUGAGGAGUAGAUGGACUAUCUUCCCCAUUUUCUUUUGCUAGGCCCAUAGCUAAAAAACCUACUUUCUUACGAUUACGAGGUUCAUUCGAAUAUGAAAUCCAAUCCUUGAAAUAUAGCAUCCCACCUUUUUUUACUACUCAAGGCUUCGAUACAUUUCGAAAUCGAGAAAUUUCUACUGGAGCGGGUGCUAUCCGAGAACAGCAAUUCGAAGAGCCUGCAGUGCUUUCAGUUCGUACUCUUGGAACUGGGUUCCCCAUGGUGCAAACAAAGCAGCAGAUGCUGCAGCUUCUCAAGCUAAAAGGAGGGUGUGUGAUGAGGUUUCGGAAGCCAGCCUCCCAUCCUCUUUGGUCUUUGUGUUGCAAGCUGAUGGGCUCCCAUGUCCCCCUACAAUGUGAGCAUUGGCUGUUAGAGGCGGACACGCUCCCUAUUUGGGAGGUGUAAUAGAAACCUUUCAACAAGGAAAGAAACAGAGCCAGCAAUGUCAGUAAAACAAAACUUGGACAGAAACAGAGCCAGCAAUACCAGAAUAAUAAUAAUUACAUAUAAUAGCACAUGUUGAUCGUCCAUCCUAUCUGCUGAAGUUUUUGGUGACUCUUGUGAAUUGGGACCUUCCAGUGACCCAGCAGGAAACUUUUCCUUUCUCUUUCGCAAAUGGAUUCUUCGGUUUGCAGUACCUUGGAAAGGAAUUGCUUCUGAAUUACAAAUGGCUUGCAUAGGCUGGUGAGAAUUUUGUUCGUCCUCAGACUUAUUGGCAAGAACUGGAAGUGUGUCAGCAGACGCAGACACUGAAACUUCAUCUAGUUUGAUGAUAUCAUCAUUCAGUAUAUCCGCAUAAAAGUCAUCAUCAUAAGAACCCUGCAAUUUGUAAUUCACAUGGAUCAUAAUUCAAGAGUUGGACAUACAAUGGACUACCAUAUAGAAAUAGAGUUCAAAACUGCCGACAGUCAUGCAAAGUUUCUUGGACCGCUGAUUAUCUUUCACAGAACAAAAGUAUGGUAAAAGUAACAGAAGAGCAAGUAUUGUU